ensembl:miRNA MIR18A microRNA 18a
UAAGGUGCAUCUAGUGCAGAUAGUGAAGUAGACCAGCACCUACUGCCCUACGUGCUCCUUCUGGCA